ACAAAUGCCCUGCUUCCAGGAAAAGCCUCUAAGCAUCAGGUAACAUCAAAUCGUACCCCAAACCGACACAGGUGGUCAGGUAGAGAAUACCAAGGCGCUUGAGAGAACUCGGGUGAAGGAACUAGGCAAAAUGGUGCCGUAACUUCGGGAGAAGGCACGCUGAUAUGUAGGUGAAGUGAUUUACUCAUGGAGCUGAAAUCAGUCGAAGAUACCAGCUGGCUGCAACUGUUUAUUAAAAACACAGCACUGUGCAAACACGAAAGUGGACGUAUACGGUGUGACGCCUGCCCGGUGCCGGAAGGUUAAUUGAUGGGGUUAUCCUUAGGGAGAAGCUCUUGAUCGAAGCCCCGGUAAACGGCGGCCGUAACUAUAACGGUCCUAAGGUAGCGAAAUUCCUUGUCGGGUAAGUUCCGACCUGCACGAAUGGCGUAAUGAUGGCCAGGCUGUCUCCACCCGAGACUCAGUGAAAUUGAACUCGCUGUGAAGAUGCAGUGUACCCGCGGCAAGACGGAAAGACCCCGUGAACCUUUACUAUAGCUUGACACUGAACACUGGUCCUUGAUGUGUAGGAUAGGUGGGAGGCUUUGAAGUGUGGACGCCAGUCUGCAUGGAGCCAACCUUGAAAUACCACCCUUUAAUGGCUGGUGUUCUAACGUGGGCCCGUGAUCCGGGUUGCGGACAGUGUCUGGUGGGUAGUUUGACUGGGGCGGUCUCCUCCUAAAGAGUAACGGAGGAGCACGAAGGUUAGCUAAUCCUGGUCGGACAUCAGGAGGUUAGUGCAAAGGCAUAAGCUAGCUUGACUGCGAGCGUGACGGCGCGAGCAGGUGCGAAAGCAGGUCUUAGUGAUCCGGUGGUUCUGAAUGGAAGGGCCAUCGCUCAACGGAUAAAAGGUACUCCGGGGAUAACAGGCUGAUACCGCCCAAGAGUUCAUAUCGACGGCGGUGUUUGGCACCUCGAUGUCGGCUCAUCACAUCCUGGGGCUGAAGUAGGUCCCAAGGGUAUGGCUGUUCGCCAUUUAAAGUGGUACGCGAGCUGGGUUUAGAACGUCGUGAGACAGUUCGGUCCCUAUCUGCCGUGGGCGCUGGAGAAUUGAGGGGGGCUGCUCCUAGUACGAGAGGACCGGAGUGGACGCAUCACUGGUGUUCGGGUUGUCAUGCCAAUGGCACUGCCCGGUAGCUAAAUGCGGAAAAGAUAAGUGCUGAAAGCAUCUAAGCACGAAACUUGCC
rnacentral:rRNA from 1 species